rnacentral:rRNA from 1 species
AUGGCCCGGGUGGUUUGGAGGACGGUUGGGUGUGUGCUGGGCACAAACCUAUGUACGAACAAUCUUGGGCAAUAUUUCUCCUGGUGCUAUACUUUUCUACCUGAUGGGGUCAAAUUUUAUACUUUCGGCCUGGCAGCGAUGUGCUGGGCGAUCUGGAAUUGUCGUAACCAAGCCAUCUUUGAACAAAAGCAACUUAAGAUCCCUUUUAAUGUGGUGUUUUCUGCUUGUGGCUUUCUGACCUACUGGGCAGGUUUGAUGGCUGGUGUUGAUCAUGAAGCCAUGGAGCAUGGAGCAAAGAUGCUCAGGACGAACGCCUCGACCAUGAUGAGGAUCUGCGCGGCUCCAGCUAGAUCUGCGAGGGACUGA